rnacentral:rRNA from 1 species
GACAGAGGGUGCAAACGUUGUUCGGAAUUACUGGGCGUAAAGCGCGUGUAGGUGGCGAGGCAAGUCGGGUGUGAAAGCCCUGGGCUCAACCCAGGAAGUGCACUCGAUACUGCCUAGCUAGAGUCCCGGAGAGGUUGGUGGAACUCUCGGUGUAGAGGUGAAAUUCGUAGAUAUCGAGAAGAACACCGGUGGCGAAGGCGGCCAACUGGACGGUGACUGACACUGAGACGCGAAAGCGUGGGGAGACAAACAGGAU